AUUGAACGCUGGCGGCAGGCCUAACACAUGCAAGUCGAACGAGUGGCGGACGGAUGGGUAAUGUCUGGGAAACGGACCGAUGGAGGGGGAUAACUACUGGAAACGGUAACUAAUACCGCCUACCAUCGGAUGUGCCCAGAUGGGAUUAGCUAGUGGGUGGGGUAAAGGCUCACCUAGGCGACGAUCCGUAGCUGGUCUGAGAGGAUGAACAGCCACACUGGAACUGAGACACGGUCCAGACUCCUACGGGAGGCAGCAGUGGGGAAUAUUGGACAAUGGGCGAAAGCCUGAUGCAGCCAUGCCGCGUGUAUGAAGAAGGUCUUCGGGUUGUAAAGCACUUUCAGUUGGGAGGCGUUACCCGCAGAAUAAGCACCGGCUAACUCCGUGCCAGCAGCCGCGGUAAUUC
rnacentral:rRNA from 1 species